rnacentral:misc_RNA from 1 species
CAGCCGCGUAAUUCCAGCUCCAAUAGCGUAUAUUAAAGUUGUUGCAGUUAAAAAGCUCGUAGUUGAAUUUCGGGGUUAGUAGGUUGGUCAUGCCUCUGGUAUGUACUGGUCUCACUGAUUCCUCCUUCCUGAUGAACCUUAAUGCCAUUUAUUUGGUGUUUUGGGGAAUUUGGACUGUUACUUUGAAAAAAUUAGAGUGUUUAAAGCAAGCUAACGCUUGAAUACAUUAGCAUGGAAUAAUGAAAUAGGACGUUCGAUCCUAUUUUGUUGGUUUCUAGGAUUGACGUAAUGAUUAAUAGGGAUAGUUGGGGGCAUUAGUAUUCAAUUGUCAGAGGUGAAAUUCUUGGAUUUAUUGAAGACUAACUACUGCGAAAGCAUUUGCCAAGGAUGUUUUCAUUAAUCAAGAACGAAAGUUAGGGGAUCGAAGACGAUCAGAUACCGUCGUAGUCUUAACCAUAAACUAUGCCGACUAGGGAUCGGAUGAUGUUAAUUUUUUAAUGACUCAUUCGGCGCCUUACG